rnacentral:rRNA from 1 species
GACGAACGCUGGCGGCGUGCUUAACACAUGCAAGUCGAACGGAAAGGCCCUGCUUUUGUGGGGUGCUCGAGUGGCGAACGGGUGAGUAACACGUGAGUAACCUGCCCUUGACUUUGGGAUAACUUCAGGAAACUGGGGCUAAUACCGGAUAGGAGCUCCUGCUGCAUGGUGGGGGUUGGAAAGUUUCGGCGGUUGGGGAUGGACUCGCGGCUUAUCAGCUUGUUGGGGGGGUAGUGGCUUACCAAGGCUUUGACGGGUAGCCGGCCUGAGAGGGUGACCGGCGACAUGGGGACUGAGAUACGGACCAGACUGCUACGGGAGGCAGAAGUGGGGAAUAUUGCACAAUGGGCGGAAGCCUGAUGCAGCAACGCCGCGUGCGGGAUGACGGCCUUCGGGUGGUAAACCGCUUUGGCCUGUGACGAAGCGUGAGUGACGGUAAUGGGUAAAGAAGCACCGGCUAACUACGUG